CUGUAGCUCACGAAAGCUUAUGCUCUAAUAAAUUUGUUAGUCUCUAAGGUGCCACAAGUACUCCUUUUCUUUUUACCUCUGAUGUUGUUUGUUUCAAACAUUACAGCUAAGCCCAAGGAAUCAAAAUCCAUCCUAGCAUAACUCCAUUAACUUCACCGGAGUUACACCGGGAACAAUUUGAUCCAUGGUUAAGCAAUAAGCUGAAUUUGGUUAUAUGGAACUGUAGUGCUGGACACUGCAUCACUUGCACAACCAUAAGAGAGUUCCCAUUCUACAAAAGAUGGGAUUUACUCCCUUUCUGUUUGUACAAGAAGAAAAAACUGCCCCUCUUCUCUUAAAAAGUUGUUCGCCUGUUUAAAGCCUUUAGGAUCUACAUAGGAAAAUUGAAAUUGCAGGUUACUGACAUGCUGUUCACUGACAUACCAACACAGUGUUCCCAACUAAUCAGAACAUAAUCAAUGGAGUGAUUUAAAAAUAAUGAAUAGUAUCCUGUAAAAUGUUUGCAUUUGUGCAGACAUAUUGAUGCUCAUAGGCCUGACCAAGCUUCCCCUGAAAUCAAUAAGUGUCUGUCUAUUGACUUCAGAGGGAGUUGGAUCAGACCCUAACUCAUUUGUAAUACUAAUAAUAAUACCUAGCUCUUAUAUAGCAAAGCUCUUUACAAAGGAAAUAAAAAGAUAUCAUCAGGCUGCAGCCACUGCAGGGUGACAUGACCACAUGCACCUGAAUAAAACUCAAUCCAUCUAUUAGGAUGAUGGAUAAACAUGCAGAUAGUGGUAAGAUGUACACACAGGCACAGGUUGCAUUUGGCUUUUGAUGUAAAGCAAUCCAGUCCACACACAUUGGAACAAAUUGGGCUGGAUGGGAUUGUGAUGAGAGAGUUUAAUCUUUAUUUCCACAGACCAAGUUGUAGCUGUCAUUCAAAGACCAUUCUUUCACCACUUUUAAAAUCUGCAAAGAAAGGUUGCUUUGUUACUUUCUUCUUUAGCUCCAAAACUGACUAUUUGUAUGAGGCAUCUCACCAAGCUUUCUGUUCUAGUUAGGUUUUUAGAGUACUCCCAUCACCAUGGUAUCUGAGCUGGCCUUUAGUACGGGAUUAUAAAUAGCACACUAGUACACGCACCUUUCUUAUAUGAAGACUAAAGGAAAAAGUAGACUGACCAAAGCACAUUAAAGGUCAAAAGGGACACUGAGAGCAUGGGGGUGGGAGGUGACAUUGGUAGUCAGAAGAGUGACUAAGCAAUGUUAAUGCACAUUCUCCCUUUUAAUCUUGUCUUUUUCUGUUUAGCAAACUAAUUUUUCUUCUAUCGUUUAAAUGCAGUUGAACUUUACUGUGUCUAUUUUGUUAAAUUCAAAAGUACCUAAUCUCUCUUGUCUGUGUCAUAUCUUUAAUACAGGUCUGGGAGUAGUACUUAUUACUGAACUCCUGUGGCUGAAGCACAACCAUUGCUCUUUGUAGACACUACAAAAGUAAUGGGCUCUGUUUAAUUUCCAGAUAGUUGUGAGACAGUUAAGGGACCACUCCUAAAACAAGCCCUACCAGCGCCAGCCCAAGAGACAGGCAGAGGCAAGAAGCAAGAAAACCAAGCAGUAACCAGUGACCACAAUGUAGUCCGGGAAAAAAAGCUAGUGAGAAAUCUGGCUAAAGAGGUUUGGGGCUAUAAACUAAGAAAAUGCUCCUUUUGUUGUUGGUUUUUCCUCCUGUGUUCGGAGAAGCAGGACUUUGUACAUUCCUUGUAAAUAAACAAGAUUUCAUCAAAA